CACGCCCGCUAAGGCUGCUCAGUGGCUGCGCGUCCGCGGGCGGCUCGGCGACUGCGCUGCGCGGGGCCCGACUUCAAAGCCCCGCGGCUCGGCAGGCACUAUGAUAGAACAGUCAAGACCAUUCAGCAUGGAGGCUGCAUUCUAACGGAAGCAAAUAAUGAAACUAAGUUAUAUAGCAAAUCUCUUCCCCUUACUGCUGGCUCAAAUGGAGACCCCAGGACAGCCAUGGGAGUCACAAGCUGAAGUUGGCAGAGCUACCUGGGAAAGGAGCUGAACCUUCCAUCACUGCCUGGAGACAGGCGGCCCAGGAAAACCAUCUGGCCAGGAACACUCAACCUGGAUGAUUAU